ensembl:lncRNA
AAAUAGACAAAACGAGGAGGAGGAGCCGGCAGAAUUAUCCUCCGAACAAGGCAUGGCGAUAAACCCUGCAGAAAAAGAUCCUUCCCCAUCAUCAGCUCAUUACCCUCACCUGGUUCUCCUUGCCCUGACCUGAAGCACAUCCCCUUAUCAGCCGCUCACUAUUUAAGCCCAUCACAUUCUGUUGUUCCCUGCCAGAUUGUCUUGUGUGUUUUCCAGUGUUUUCCCAGUUACCCCGAUUUACCAGUGUUUUGACCCUGCCUGCCUUUCGACCCCAGAUUCUCUGUCUGCUCCUUUUUUUUGGAUUUGUUUGCCUCCCUGAUUGCCACUCUGGUUCUGACCCCUGCCUGUUCCCGUCUAUGGAUUCCCUGCCUGCCCCUCUCGGAUUUGCUUGCCUUCUGACGCAUCUCCCAGUUUUGACCUUGUCUGCCCCGUUGAUGAAAUCUACUAGUCCCUCCCAUCUUGGUCUGAGUCAAAAUGAUGCUGUGCUUGUGCUGGUUCUACCCAUGUAGCUAUGGAAUCCAACAGACAUUUACUUUUGGCCUGAGUUCCCCGAGAGUGAGACAAUGUCUGGCUCAAGCUCCAUAGGCUCUAUUGCAAAUCUGCUGAUAUGUUUCUUAAAGAAACCAGACUGUACACUUUUUGAAAACUUGCGAUAGAGCUGUAUUUAUGUCACGCAGUGACAUGUAAAUAAAUAAUGCCGCCAUUAUAAAUAUAAACUGUAUGUUUUGAGGUACAACAGAUGGACAGUUAGUUGGGGUUUUUCUGCUUUUCCUAUACACUACUUUGCCACCUAGUUUAAUAUUUAUUUUCCUCUGUCUUGAUGGAAUGAGUUUUGGUUGCAUCAGUAUUGUACCAUACAACCCAUCUUCUCCGAUUUUAUAAACAUGUCACGGUGUGGUUCACUUCCUGUUGUAUUUUGUAGUUUUCUGCCACUCGUGUCCCCGGGUAACUUCACUUCCUGCCUUGUCCCGUCAUCCCCUGUGAUCGUCUAAUAGUUUCCACCUGUGUCCAAUCACCUGCACCUCCCUUGUGUAUUUAAGCCGUGUGUCGCGUCAUUGUCUCUUGUUGUGGAUGUCUGUAGUUUCCGGCCUGCUGUUUUUCCUCCCG